GGAAGGGAAAAGAACAGCGGCAGUUCAAACUGGCUUGUAAAAUACAGCUGCUACCUUCAUCAUGAUCUCAUUUUCAGUGUUGCUUCUGGCAAUGGCAUCCUUGGGCAUCCGUCAGUUUAUGGAUGUUCGUUUGAUCAGCAGAAGGAGGGAGAAGAAGAGCUGCAGUCCAGUUGAACGGUCUUGAAAAAUACAUCAUGUUCUGGUCAUCUUUAGUGUUGCUUUUGGCAAUGAUAUCCUGUAUUUCUUCAUUAGACAUCACUCAGCCUGAGUUCCUGACUGUUCGACCUGGUGACACUCUGACUAUCAACUGUAAAGUCUCUUAUUCAGUUACUAGUUCGAGUAAUUAUGGAACAGGCUGGAUUCGUCAGCCUGCAGGAGAAGCUCUGGAGUGGAUUGGAGUUAUCCUAUAUGAAGGGAGCUCAGACUACAAGGAUUCACUGAAAAACAAGUGUACAGUGUCAGACAUUCACUCAGUCUGAAGAAGCAGUUAAAAAACCUGGAGAAUCUCACAAACUUUCAUGUACAAUAACUGGAUUUACUUUCAGCAGUCUUGUUUUGAACUGGAUCAGACAGACCCCUGGAAAAGGACUGGAAUGGAUUGCUUUAAUCCAUACAUCCAGUUCUCAUAUCUACUAAUCUCAGUCUGUUCAAGAAAGGUUCACGGUGUCCAGAGAUGAUUCCAGAAGCCAGUUGUACCUACAGAUGAACAGUCUAAAGACUGAAGACACUGCGGUUUAUUACUGUGCUAAAAGAGACACAGUGAACGUUAAUGUCACUAAGCCAUACAAAAAACACUUCCUCAUUCAUGUAUUGUAUGAACAUGUUGAA